rnacentral:rRNA from 1 species
GUGGGGAAUAUUGGACAAUGGGCGAAAGCCUGAUCCAGCCAUGCCGCGUGUGUGAAGAAGGUCUUCGGAUUGUAAAGCACUUUAAGUUGGGAGGAAGGGCAGUAAGUUAAUACCUUGCUGUUUUGACGUUACCGACAGAAUAAGCACCGGCUAACUUCGUGCCAGCAGCCGCGGUAAUACGAAGGGUGCAAGCGUUAAUCGGAAUUACUGGGCGUAAAGCGCGCGUAGGUGGUUCGUUAAGUUGGAUGUGAAAGCCCCGGGCUCAACCUGGGAACUGCAUCCAAAACUGGCGAGCUAGAGUACGGUAGAGGGUGGUGGAAUUUCCUGUGUAGCGGUGAAAUGCGUAGAUAUAGGAAGGAACACCAGUGGCGAAGGCGACCACCUGGACUGAUACUGACACUGAGGUGCGAAAGCGUGGGGAGCAAACAGGAUUAGAUACCCCUGUAGUCC